GAUGAACGCUGGCGGCGUGCCUAAUACAUGCAAGUCGAGCGAACAGACGAGGAGCUUGCUCCUCUGACGUGAGCGGCGGACGGGUGAGUAACACGUGGAUAACCUACCUAUAAGACUGGGAUAACUUCGGGAAACCGGAGCUAAUACCGGAUAACAUGUUGAACCGCAUGGUUCAACAGUGAAAGACGGUUUUGCUGUCACUUAUAGAUGGAUCCGCGUCGCAUUAGCUAGUUGGUAAGGUAACGGCUUACCAAGGCAACGAUGCGUAGCCGACCUGAGAGGGUGAUCGGCCACACUGGAACUGAGACACGGUCCAGACUCCUACGGGAGGCAGCAGUAGGGAAUCUUCCGCAAUGGGCGAAAGCCUGACGGAGCAACGCCGCGUGAGUGAAGAAGGUCUUCGGAUCGUAAAACUCUGUUAUUAGGGAAGAACAAAUGUGUAAGUAACUAUGCACGUCUUGACGGUACCUAAUCAGAAAGCCACGGCUAACUACGUG
rnacentral:rRNA from 1 species